rnacentral:rRNA from 1 species
UACAGGGGGUGCAAACGUUGCUCGGAAUCAUUGGGCGUAAAGCGCACGUAGGCGGUUCGUUAUGUCGGAUGUGAAAGCCCUUGGCUUAACCGAGGAAGUGCAUCCGAAACUGGCGAGCUAGAGUACUAAAGAGGAUCGCGGAAUUCCCGGUGUAGAGGUGAAAUUCGUAGAUAUCGGGAGGAACACCGGUGGCGAAGGCGGCGAUCUGGGUAGAUACUGACGCUGAGGUGCGAAAGCGUGGGGAGCAAGCAGG